UCGCUUGAGCAUCAACUUCCCCUUCACUGUAGGCCACGCAUUCACCAGCAAUUUGUGGGCAGGAAUUGAUGGCUUCCACAUGACGGUGAAUGGGCGCCAUGAGACAUCGUUCAUGUAUAAGGAGAGACUUGAACCGUGGUCUGUGAGCGGAGUAAAGGUGGAGGGAGCUUUAGAGGUGUUAUCAUGUUUUGCAAAUGGUUUACCUUUCUCUGAAGAUCUGGCGUUGGCUGGCGAUGUGGAGAAGCUGAAGGCUCCUAAGAUUGCAAAGCGCAGGGUGUUCAUGCUUGUUGGGGUGUUCUCCUCAGGCAACAAUUUUGCUCGGCGGCAGGCUAUAAGGAGGUCCUGGAUGCAGUAUGAAACUGUGAGGUCCGGUGAGGUUGCGGUGCGGUUUGUCAUUGGACUUCACAAGAACAUGGAAGUCAAUAUAGAACUAUGGAAAGAAUCACAGGCCUAUGGAGAUAUACAGUUGAUGCCCUUUGUCGACUACUACAGCCUAAUCACUUUGAAAACUGUAGCUAUUUGUAUUAUAGGGACGAAACUCCUCCCUGCUAAAUACAUCAUGAAAACUGAUGAUGAUGCCUUUGUAAGAAUUGAUGAAGUCGUAUCUGCUCUUAAGAAGAAUGAUCCCAAUGGCCUUUUGUAUGGUCUCGUCUCAUUUGAAUCAUCUCCCCACAGAGAUAAGGAUAGCAAGUGGUACAUCAGCGAGGCGGAAUGGUCAAAUGAUUCCUAUCCUCCUUGGGCUCAUGGUCCUGGUUACAUAAUAUCAAGAGACAUUGCCAAAUUUGUUGCGAAGGGUCAUGAAGAUGGCAAACUCAAACUUUUCAAGCUUGAAGAUGUCGCGAUGGGCAUUUGGAUUCAGAAGUUCAAGGAAGAAGGUAGAAAGGUGAAUUAUGUGAAUGAUGAACGGUUCUACAACGCCGGCUGCGAGUCUGGCUAUGUCCUUGCCCAUUAUCAGGGGCCGAGGAAGCUGCUUUGUCUGUGGGAUAAGCUGCAAAAAGAACAUGAGGCGAUCUGCUGUGAAUAAGUAACAACUUUCAAGCUGAAUGUUGGAAGCAAGCUGGAGCUGUAACUGGAGGAGGUUGAUUGAAGCUCUAAUGAUUGUAUGGAACUGAUGAGGCAAAGCGAAGAGACUGUCAGCAGCAUAGAUUUGAAGAGGGGGCGGGUAUCUUCGAGCUUCAAUUAGUUUUAUGAAUGUCGACUCAAGAUAGUUCUUGGGCGUUUCGUGAAGGCAAUUGCGUGGAUUGUGAAUUUGGUCAUCCCGCGUGUGGGUUUUUAAUGUAGUUCAUAUUGUGAAAAUGUGGACAAUGUUGUACUCAAAUGGUAUGAACUAUAACAUAUUCAAAUACAUUGUAUUGCAUUGUUCGAUGAGGUAUUGACUUAAGAGUUAGGUUUUUGAAUGUCGGGUGAUGAUGUUGAUG